AGCCUGGGAAACUGGGUCUAAUACCGGAUAGGACCUUUCUCCUCAUGGGGUUUGGUGGAAAGUUCUUCGGUGCAGGAUGAGCCCGCGGCCUAUCAGCUUGUUGGUGGGGUAAUGGCCUACCAAGGCGACGACGGGUAGCCGGCCUGAGAGGGUGAUCGGCCACAUUGGGACUGAGAUACGGCCCAGACUCCUACGGGAGGCAGCAGUGGGGAAUAUUGCACAAUGGGCGAAAGCCUGAUGCAGCGACGCCGCGUGAGGGAUGACGGCCUUCGGGUUGUAAACCUCUUUCAGUAGGGACGAAGCGCAAGUGACGGUACCUGCAGAAGAAGCACCGGCUAACUACGUGCCAGCAGCCGCGGUAAUACGUAGGGUGCGAGCGUUGUCCGGAAUUACUGGGCGUAAAGAGCUCGUAGGCGGUUUGUCACGUCGUCUGUGAAAUCCUAGGGCUUAACCCUGGACGUGCAGGCGAUACGGGCUGACUUGAGUACUACAGGGGAGACUGGAAUUUCUGGUGUAGCGGUGGAAUGCACAGAUAUCAGGAAGAACACCGAUGGCGAAGGCAGGUCUCUGGGUAGUAACUGA
rnacentral:rRNA from 1 species